UACGUAGGGUGCAAGCGUUAAUCGGAAUUACUGGGCGUAAAGCGCGCGUAGGUGGUUCGUUAAGUUGGAUGUGAAAUCCCCGGGCUCAACCUGGGAACUGCAUUCAAAACUGUCGAGCUAGAGUAUGGUAGAGGGUGGUGGAAUUUCCUGUGUAGCGGUGAAAUGCGUAGAUAUCUGGAGGAACACCGGUGGCGAAGGCGGCAAUCCUGGACCGGCAUUGACGCUGAGGCGCGAAAGCCAGGGGAGCAAAGCGGGGAU
rnacentral:rRNA from 1 species